AUUGAACGCUGGCGGCAUGCUUUACACAUGCAAGUCGAACGGCAGCGGGGUAGUUCUUGCACUACUGCCGGCGAGUGGCGAACGUGUUACUUAUAUAUCGGCCCGUUCCGAGUAAUGGGGGAUAACCAAUCGACAGUUUUGCCAAUACCGCCCACGUCCUGAGGGAGAAAGCGGUUGAUCGCACGCCCUCUCGUUUUUCCAGCGGCCGAUAACGGAUUAUCUAGUUGGUGGGGUAAAGGCCUACCAAGGCGACGAUCAGUAGCGGGUCUGAGAGGACGAUCAGCCACACUGGGACUGAGACACGGCCCAGACUCCUACGGGAGGCAGCAGUGGGGAAUUUUGGACAAUGGGGGAAAGCCUGAUCCAGCCAUGCCGCGUGUGUGAAGAAGGCCUUCGGGUUGUAAAGUACUUUUGGUAGGGAAGAAAAGGAAAGUGCUAAUACCACGUUUUGCUGACGGUACCAAAAGAAUAAGCACCGGCUAACUACGUG
rnacentral:rRNA from 1 species